UCAAGGCCAGGACUUCUGUGAGGUUCAUGUCAGCACAGGCCAUCACCAAGAUGAAGCAGAUGUGUGGAGGUGUUCUCGCAGUUGUCCUGCUGGUUUCCCAAAUUUUGUCACAGACGGUCUGGGCACAGUUUGAGCCAGACACGCCUGUCGGCAGCGUCUCUCCAACCAUUGACGAUGCAGUCUCUCCAGCUAUUGGCUCCACGGUCCCUGCCACAGUCUCUCCAGCUACUGGCUCCACAGUCUCUCCAGCUCUUGGCCCCACGGUCCCUGCCACUGUCUCCCCAGCUAAUCACAGCACGGUCUCUGCCAGCGUCUCCUCAACCAUUGCUGGCUCUGUGACGAGUUCCACCUUCAACUCUACCUCUGGCAGCACUUCUAGGACGGUUGCUAGCUAUCCGGUGCUCCUGCUUUCUCUGAUCUUGGUGGGUCCUGUCUUUUAUGACUGGUCCCUGUAAAAGGACUGGACUCGUGCUGUCUGUUAACAUUGAGCCUUUUCAUGAAGGACACCUUUUCAUGAGCACAUCUGGACUUCCUAUCUCAGGUGGAGGAAGUUAUAUUGACUGUCUUUUAUGCACUAAACGGUUUCCCUAAUGUCCUGGUCCAACAUGUAUCAUGAAAGUUCUGUUUUUGAAAAUGCACCGUUUAAGACUGUCUCACAUUGGUGAAAAUCUUAGGAAGCUGAUCUGUGUUCAUGUUUUGAAAAGCCUCAUUUGAUAACCUUUGUAUAUUUAUAGAAGUUUAUCCUCUUUUAUAUUGUGUGAAUAAAGCUAUAAAUGAAA